GGGGAUGUACUGGUUUUGACGCCGUGAUCGGUAGAUCCUGGUUGCGAGUACGGGCGCUGUUCCCGUUUAUCAACGAGCAAAACAAAUUAAAUGACAACAAAGUUGUUUCAUUAGAUGCUUUCAGAGCUCAAAAGCUUGCUGCUUAAUUGGUAGCGCAUCCCUCUAAUUUAACCAGCUUGCCGUUAAAUUAGAUGAAAACAUGCAAGAUGCAGUGUGCAAAUGAUGGUAUGCACAUCAAGUUUUCCCAUUGAAGGUUAGGCUUCCGCAAAAAGUCUUUGACUUAAUUCAGGUUUUGUAAUUUUCCUUAUUAAGUUAAGCUAAUAAAUUACUACACUCGUAGACAUCAGUUUUUAUCCACGAUGGACGUGGGUUCGACUCCCACCAUCUCCA
rnacentral:tmRNA from 1 species